AGAGCGAACGCUGGCGGCAGGCCUAACACAUGCAAGUCGAGCGCCCCGCAAGGGGAGCGGCAGACGGGAGAGUAACACGUGGGAACGUACCCUUCAGUUCGGAACAACCCAGGGAAACUUGGGCUAAUACCGAAUACGUCCGUAAGGAGAAAGAUUUAUCGCUGAAGGAUCGGCCCGCGUCUGAUUAGCUAGUUGGUGAGGUAACGGCUCACCAAGGCUACGAUCAGUAGCUGGUCUGAGAGGAUGAUCAGCCUCACUGGGACUGAGACACGGCCCAGACUCCUACGGGAGGCAGCAGUGGGGAAUAUUGGACAAUGGGCGCAAGCCUGAUCCAGCCAUGCCGCGUGGAUGAUGAAGGCCUUAGGGGUUGUAAAGUCCGUUUCGACGGGGAAGAUAAUGACGGUACCCGUAGAAGAAGCCCCGGCUAACUUCGUGCCAGCAGCCGC
rnacentral:rRNA from 1 species